rnacentral:rRNA from 1 species
UUUAUGGAGAGUUUGAUCCUGGCUCAGGAUGAACGCUGGCGGCGUGCCUAAUACAUGCAAGUCGAGCGAACGGACGAGAAGCUUGCUUCUCUGAUGUUAGCGGCGGACGGGUGAGUAACACGUGGAUAACCUACCUAUAAGACUGGGAUAACUUCGGGAAACCGGAGCUAAUACCGGAUAAUAUUUUGAACCGCAUGGUUCAAAAGUGAAAGACGGUCUUGCUGUCACUUAUAGAUGGAUCCGCGCUGCAUUAGCUAGUUGGUAAGGUAACGGCUUACCAAGGCAACGAUGCAUAGCCGACCUGAGAGGGUGAUCGGCCACACUGGAACUGAGACACGGUCCAGACUCCUACGGGAGGCAGCAGUAGGGAAUCUUCCGCAAUGGGCGAAAGCCUGACGGAGCAACGCCGCGUGAGUGAUGAAGGUCUUCGGAUCGUAAAACUCUGUUAUUUAGGGAAAGAACAUAUGUGUAAGUAACUGUGCACAUCUUGACGGUACCUAAUCAGAAAGCCACGGCUAAACUACGUGCCAGCAGCCGCGUAAUACGUAGGUGGCAAGCGUUAUCCGGAAUUAUUGGGCGUAAAGCGCGCGUAGGCGGUUUUUUAAGUCUGAUGUGAAAGCCCACGGCUCAACCCGUGGAGGGUCAUUGGAAACUGGAAAACUUGAGUGCAGAAGAG